UGAUUACAUAGUAAUGUGGCAUGUUCCUUUCAAAUAGGCAAUUUAUCUCACUCCAGUGCAAUGCAGAGGAAUGUCCUGUGAAUAUCACAUUUUUAGUAGGAAUUUAGUGCAUGUAAAGGGAGGAUUUGACCCACAGAUCAUGCUCAUAACACACUUCUUCUGUUGAUUAAAGGCAAGAGGAACGACCUACACCGAUAUGAGGCCAAGCGUCAUUUCCUGUUCUCUACUUAUAACGAUAUGAGGC